GAGUGUUCGAAUCACGAAGCAGAGAGAGAGAGGGGGGAAGAGAGGAGUUCUGAUUCUAACCAGAGUUUGUGAUUUAACCCUAGACUUACGCGUUAGGUUAAAGAGACGACUGUGAAGAAGAAGAAGAAGAAGAAGAAGAAGAAGAAGAAGAAGAAGAAGAAGAAGAAGUAGACGGCGACUCAUUGACAGAGAUAUAGCAGUGAGCUUCAACCACUGUAAAGAAGAACGGAGAACGGGGAACGGAGAAGGUUCUGAUUCUGUCGUGAAGGGGGAGAAAUUUUGCCCCAUUUUGGAGGGCCUUCUUAUUCUUCUUGGAAUCUUUUCGAUUGCUUCUCUGCAGGUUUUCACUGUUGAAUGACACGCAUUCGUUGCUAAUGUGCUACGUUGUUUGAUUUCCCCCGCUUCUCCUAGAUCUUUAAUUUCAAUUGGGCUCUGCAUAUCCUGUUCAAUGGGUAUGUCAAUGUAGUAUAAAGUCUUCAGUCUCUGUCGUUGGUUUCUUUGGGCAUCUCUUCACUGAGGAUCUUUAGUGGGAUUUUGAUACUGUGUCGACCGAUUAAUGAUUUUUAGGGUACAAGAUUUUGUUGAAGCUCAUUCAGCAUCGGCUUUAGAGUUGAGCACUCUUCUGGGGGAGAAGGAACUCUCUUCCAUUGCCACCUCUUUUGCCUGCUGCUUACACUGUCUGUGUGCGCAUUUGUAAUUAAUGCAUCGUAAAUUGGAUAGCCCUGUCCAGACGCAGAUGGCCACAGCAGCAGGCUUUAAGAGUCCACUCGGUCGAGAGUUUGGCGGGAGCAAGAUGAUGGAAGGGAAACUGUCUUCAGGGAGGAGAAGGGUCUUUGUGCAAACUGACACUGGUUGUGUCCUGGGGAUGGAAUUGGAUCGGAGUGAUAAUGCUCAUACUGUGAAGAGGAGGUUACAGCUUGCGCUCAAUGUACCAACUGAUGAGAGCUCUUUGACAUUUGGGGAUAUGGUACUGAAGAACGACCUCAGUGCCGUACGAAACGAUUCUCCCCUUCUUCUUACACGAAACAUUUUGCACAGAAGCUCAUCGACUCCUUGUCUCUCGCCUACUGGAAGGGAUAUUCAGCAAAGAGAUCAGAGUGGUCCUAUUGAGAUAUUGGGGCAUUCUGAUCGCUUUAUUAGAACAAAGCAACUGGUUUGUGAGAUUACAAAAGCAAUUAAAGUUGGUGUAGAUCCUAUUCCUGUUCAUAGUGGACUUGGUGGUGCAUACUAUUUCAGAAAUAACAGAGGUGAGAGCGUUGCGAUUGUGAAGCCUACGGAUGAAGAACCUUUUGCACCAAACAAUCCAAAAGGAUUUGUUGGUAAAGCUCUUGGUCAACCUGGGUUAAAACGAUCAGUGCGUGUUGGGGAGACUGGAUUUCGUGAGGUUGCAGCUUAUCUUCUUGACUACGAUCACUUUGCUAAUGUGCCUCCCACUGCCUUGGUGAAGAUUACCCACUCGAUCUUCAAUGUCAAUGAUGGAGUAAAUGGUAACAUGCCGAGUAAGAAGAAGCUGGUUAGCAAGAUUGCAUCCUUACAAGAAUUCAUACCACAUGAUUUUGAUGCCAGUGAUCAUGGAACUUCCAGCUUCCCAGUAGUGGCUGUGCAUCGUAUAGGCAUACUAGACAUUAGAGUUUUUAACACAGAUAGGCAUGCUGGAAAUCUUUUAGUUAGGAAACUUGAUGGUGUUGGGAGGUUUGGUCAAGUGGAGCUCAUUCCUAUUGAUCAUGGACUCUGCUUGCCAGAAACAUUAGAGGAUCCAUAUUUUGAGUGGAUUCAUUGGCCGCAGGCAUCAAUUCCAUUUUCAGAGGAUGAGCUCAAGUAUAUCAAAGAUCUCAACCCAUUUAAAGAUAGUGAGAUGUUGAGGAUGGAGCUCCCCAUGAUUCACGAGGCUUGUCUCAGGGUUCUGGUUCUCUGCACGAUCUUCCUGAAGGAAGCUGCUGCAUUUGGUCUUUGUCUUGCCGAGAUCGGCGAGAUGAUGACUAGGGAGUUUCGUAGUGCAGAGGAGGAUCCCAGUGAACUUGAACUUAUAUGCAUGGAGGCUAGAAAGCUGAUCAAAGAGAAGGAGGUCUUAUCCCCUCGGGCAGAUUUAGGCGAUGAGGAAUUUCAGUUUGAUAUAGACUGCGACGAAGAGGAGUUAGAUUUUAGCCAAGAGAUAGAAGCAGAUGAUUUUAACCCAACAGCACCAUUCCACUUCCACGGUGGCGGUAUACGUGGACGUUUUCCUCUUCGUAAACUGGAGGAAAGCAUCGAGGAAGAAAACAGUGAAGAAGAUGAGCAAGGAGGCUUCGCCGAUCUGUUUUCUUCUGAAAGGAUUCCAACUAUUUCAAAGCUUUCCAUGUCACUGAAGAAUACCAGUCUGGGUGAGAAGAAUAAGAAACACGCCAAGUACUCUGGAACAAGACCUGAGAAUGGAUAUAUGAUGACCAAUACAUCAUCUGGCCACAGAAGUGCAAAUGAACAGCUUCCAGCCAGUGUAACCUUUGUGAAGCUAGCUGAUAUGAACGAAGAUGCAUGGUCACUAUACUUAGAGAAGUUUCAAGAGCUACUUCACCCGGCAUUUGCUAAGCGAAAAUCCGCAACUCUAGGCCAGAGGCAGAGGCAGAGGCUUGGUACUUCUUGCCAAUUUUGAGAUUGAGCUAAGAAGAGUUGAUUGAUUGAUGAUAACUUUGAUGAUGCAAGGGGUUUUCUGGUUUCUGUUCGAGACACGACUACAUUUAGAAGGUCUGAGCAGGUGGCAUGGCGGGAUCAGCUGGAUGAGUACAAAUUGUUGGUCACAAAACAAAGGUAAGAGAUAUUGGACGAAGAAGUGCACAGGUGAAGAAGGUGAAGUAGCAGUAGAAGAAGGGCAAACACAUACACACAAAAUGCCAAUAGAAUCGUCUUCCUGACCUAUCGAUUGCAUACGAUAAUGUAUCGAAUCAUCGAAACGUAUACAAAAAUUUCAAGUCCGUCUUUGUACCUUUUAAGUCAGGAUGCAACCCCUUACUCAACUCGUAGAAUCAAAUCGCCAAGUAUCUCGGACUCGACGUUGAUGGAAGAACUUUGAAGCUUUAAGAACUCACAUUUGAUUUAUGGAAGCAAAAAUGAGAUAUUCAACAACCCUAAUGAUUAUUCGAACAAGCAAGAUUUCAUGGUCAUGCUUGUCCAAAGCAUGUCACCUGUGGCUGCAUGACAGAUGUCUCAGUCUUGUUUGUCUGAGUCGGUUGACAGAAAGGAUGUCACGGUUAUGCUUGUCCAAAGCAUGUUGCUUAUGGCCGCAUGACAAAUGUCCCAAUCUUGCUUGUUCGAGUCGGUUGACAGGGACGUCGACCAAUUGAGUAGGGGAGGAAGUCACGGUCAUGUUUGUCGAAGGCAUGUUGCCUAUGGUUGCAUGCCCAUUCCAAACCUCCUUUUCAUGCUUUCAUCUUAGAUAGACCUUUACUAUUUCAUAUCCGGUCAUAUCUAUAUAAAAGAGCUAAAUUAUUAGGAUUCCAAUUA